rnacentral:rRNA from 1 species
GACGAACGCUGGCGGCGUGCUUAACACAUGCAAGUAGAACGAUGAACCCGGAGCUUGCUCCGGUGGAUUAGUGGCGAAAGGGUGAGUAACACGUGAGUAACCUGCACUUGACUCUGGGAUAACUGCGGGAAACUGUAGCUAAUACCGGAUACGACCCUCGGCGGCAUCGCCAGGGGGUGGAAAGAAUUUCGGUCAAGGAUGGACUAGCGGCCUAUCAGCUAGUUGGUGAGGUAACGGCUCACCAAGGGGACGACCGCUAGCCGGCCUGAGGGGGUGACCGGCCACACGUGGACUGAGACACGGCCCAUACUCCUACGGGAGGCAGCAGUGGGGAAUAUUGCACAAUGGGCGCAAGCCUGAUGCAGCAACGCCGCGUGAGGGAUGACGGCCGUCGGGUUGUAAACCUCUUUUAGGAGGGCAGAAGCGAAAGUGACGGUACCUGCAGAAAAAGCACCGGCUAACUACUUGCCAGCCGCCGCCGUAA